GACGAACCGUACAAACGUUAUUCGGAAUUACUGGGCUUAAAGGGUGCGUAGGCGGCGCGGUAAGUUGGGUGUGAAAUCCCUCGGCUCAACCGAGGAAUUGCGCUCGAUACUGCCGUGCUCGAGGGAGACAGAGGUGAGCGGAACUUAGGGUGGAGCGGUGAAAUGCGUUGAUAUCCUAAGGACACCAGUGGCGAAAGCGGCUCACUGGGUCUCUUCUGACGCUGAGGCACGAAAGCUAGGGGAGCGAACGGG
rnacentral:rRNA from 1 species